UUAAAGAAAAAUGUAGUCAAAUUUUAAAUAAUGUAGGUAGUAUAAUCCUUUGAUUGUAAAUUAUUUUCCCUACUACGUAAAGCUGGUACAAUAGCCGUACGGUUUUUUAUAUACCGAAAAGCAUUCAUUCAUCAUGGAGUCCAGGAUGAUUUACGAUGUGAUGGUAGAACAAUGCUGGAUUACCACCCUAUAAUUCUUGAAACUACAUUAGUUUCCAAUGCCAGUGGAUCGGCAAGGCUGAGACUUGCAAACUCAACAACAUCUGGAAAAUGAAAUUUGCAAAUUCCUACAAAGAUCCUAUGCUUCAGCUGAUGUGAUAUUUCCACCAGUCCUGAUGUAU